GAAUGUAACAAAAACCUUUGUUCGACGCACACGAUGGAGCCCUCGUUCGAGCAAGGUCUCCAACCGUUGAAGUUCCUCUAGAGCAAGUCCUUGAAGGUCCUCACCGUGUACCUCAGUUCCUGAUUUUUGUCAAACAACUCUUUUCCCAUCCUUAUUUCAUCACUUUCCUGGAGCUACAGACAGAUUGAAAUACAAUCAGAAAGAAUCAUGCUUAUCGUGACAACACAAAUAAGUUGGUUAUAUGAAGAUCAAGAGAUGAAAACCUGUAGAUCGAGUGAAGGUUUGGAAGAUCAGGGAGCUGAGUGAAACAUUGAUAGUUACUGGUAUAAAGAGAAAGAGUUUAGGGUUUCUGGAUCAUUCUCGCACACCAGUUUCUCUCUCAUCUCACACCUACCCCCUCAUCUCUUAAUCUGUUCGAGUUGUUCAAGCAAUUACAAGCUGUUAUCUAUGUUAAUGAUCCAGUGUGGAUCUUAUUUCUCAGUUGUUGAUCCUUCUUGUGGAUCUGUUGUUGUUAUAGAUCCUGUGGAUCUUUGUAUUUGGUUGUAUCGUUCUUAAUAAUCAACUGAUAAUCAUCAGUUGAUUGUUCUUCGUAUUUUUCAUAUAACAGAUCUUACCGUUUGUAAGAUCUUGGGAGGUUAGGGUGUUUUUAGGGUUGGAUAAGUAAUAAAAGUUUUACGUCAUGUUUUGC
rnacentral:lncRNA from 1 species